rnacentral:rRNA from 1 species
GACGAACGCUGGCGGCGUGCCUAAUACAUGCAAGUCGAGCGAGCUUGCCUAGAUGAAUUUGGUGCUUGCACCAAAUGAAACUAGAUACAAGCGAGCGGCGGACGGGUGAGUAACACGUGGGUAACCUGCCCAAGAGACUGGGAUAACACCUGGAAACAGAUGCUAAUACCGGAUAACAACACUAGACGCAUGUCUAGAGUUUAAAAGAUGGUUCUGCUAUCACUCUUGGAUGGACCUGCGGUGCAUUAGCUAGUUGGUAAGGUGACGGCUUACCAAGGCAAUGAUGCAUAGCCGAGUUGAGAGACUGAUCGGCCACAUUGGGACUGAGACACGGCCCAAACUCCUACGGGAGGCAGCAGUAGGGAAUCUUCCACAAUGGACGCAAGUCUGAUGGAGCAACGCCGCGUGAGUGAAGAAGGGUUUCGGCUCGUAAAGCUCUGUUGGUAGUGAAGAAAGAUAGAGGUAGUAACUGGCCUUUAUUUGACGGUAAUUACUUAGAAAGUCACGGCUAACUACGUGCCAGCAGCCGCGGUAAUACGUAGGUGGCAAGCGUUGUCCGGAUUUAUUGGGCGUAAAGCGAGUGCAGGCGGUUCAAUAAGUCUGAUGUGAAAGCCUUCGGCCCAACCGGAGAAUUGCAUCAGAAACUGUUGAACUUGAGUGCAGAAGAGGAGAGUGGAACUCCAUGUGUGGCGGUGGAAUGCGUAGAUAUAUGGAAGAACACCAGUGGCGAAGGCGGCUCUCUGGUCUGCAACUGACGCUGAGGCUCGAAAGCAUGGGUAGCGAACAGGAUUUAGAUACCCUAGUAGUCCGAGGGCGAUUCCACAGUGGAUAUCAAGCUUAUCGAUCCCGUCGACCUUGAAUUGUAGACAUAUACUCAGCUUUUGUUCCCUUAAUGAGGGUUAUUA